CUAAGAAUAUUCCGCAAUGGACGGAAGUCUGACGGAGCGACGCCGCGUGGAUGACGAAGGCCGAAAGGUUGUAAAGUUCUUUUGCUGGGGAAGAAUAACCGCAGGAGGGAAUGCCUGUGGGAUGACAAGAACCGGCGAAUAAGCCCCGGCCAACUACGUGCCAGCAGCCGCGGUAACACGUAGGGGGCGAGCGUUGUUCGGAAUUACUGGGCGUAAAGGGCAUGUAGGCGGCUUGGAAAGCCUGGCGUGAAAGUCUGCAGCUUAACUGCAGGGGUGCGCUGGGAACUGCUGAGCUUGAGUGACGGAGAGGGAGCUGGAAUUCCUGGUUUAGGGGUGAAAUCUGUAGAUAUCAGGAAGAACACCGAUGGUGAAGGCAAGCUCCUGGCCGAUGACUGACGCUGAGGUGCGAAAGUGUGGGGAUCAAAC
rnacentral:rRNA from 1 species